rnacentral:rRNA from 1 species
GUGUCAGCCGCCGCGGUAAGACGAACCGUGCAAACGUUGUUCGGAAUCACUGGGCUUAAAGGGCGCGUAGGCGGGUCUCCCAGCCUGUGGUGAAAUCCUCCAGCUUAACUGGAGAAGUGCCGUGGAUACUGGAGACCUCGAGGAGGAUAGGGGCAUCUGGAACGGUCGGUGGAGCGGUGAAAUGCGUUGAUAUCGACCGGAACUCCGGUGGCGAAGGCGAGGUGCUGGGUCCUUUCUGACGCUGAUGCGCGAAAGCCAGGGGAGCAAACGGGAUUAGAUACCCCCGUAGUCC